rnacentral:rRNA from 1 species
AACGAACGCUGGCGGCAGGCUUAACACAUGCAAGUCGAGCGCGGUCCUUCGGGACUGAGCGGCGGACGGGUGAGUAACGCGUGGGAACGUGCCCCUUUCUUCGGAAUAGCCUCGGGAAACUGGGAGUAAUGCCGAAUACGCCGGAUCGUCGAGAGAUGGUUUGGGAAAGAUUUAUCGGAGAGGGAUCGGCCCGCGUUGGAUUAGGUAGUUGGUGGGGUAAUGGCCUACCAAGCCGACGAUCCAUAGCUGGUUUGAGAGGAUGAUCAGCCACACUGGGACUGAGACACGGCCCAGACUCCUACGGGAGGCUG